rnacentral:misc_RNA from 1 species
GUCAAGCGAUCAAUGUGACGUAGGCGCCUAAGAAGACAGUUUGUUUACAUCCAUGGUAUUAUACAUAUUGCAGCCCGAUGAGUAAGCAACUGUACUUCUGUGGUUGUGAAAUUCUUUUUCGGAUUUGUAGCAGAUAGUAACCAAGAGCUAGCCGAGAACACGGACCCAAGCAGCCGCAAUCCGGAUACAACGGAGCCGAGUGAAAAGGCUUCAGGAUCCAAGAUGCUUAGUGAGCGACCAUUGAAAAGAGCGGGUAAACGCCCAGGCCGUAAACCAUCAAGAAUAGAUGUCAAAGCUAAACUUGAACGGAGCCGACAAAGUGCAAGGGAAUGCAGAGCACGGAAAAAGCUUCGUUAUCAGUACUUGGAGGAGUUAGUGCUAAACAGGGAACAGGCUAUAUUUGCUCUCAGAGAUGAGCUGGAGGUGUAUCGGAGCUGGUGCGAUGAUGUCGAUAAGGGCAAGGCGUCGGCGGAGGUGCGCGAGAAGAUUCUCACCGCCGAAGACGACGAUAUAAAGAAAGAGCCAGAAGAACCGGAAGUGAACGAUACAGGUCAAGUUGAAUAACAUUUGACAUUUGUCCAGAGAGGUUGGAGGAUCGGGAUCUUGUCAAAAGGUGGAAGAUUGAACUGUUGGUGUAGUGUGACGCCGCAAUUUGUUGUUCGUUACGGAGAGGGUUGGUUAAGCUGUUGGAAGUAUUGGCCUUGGGACAACUUUUUCCUAGUUGGUGCCUCGAGGUUGACUUUUGAACCUGAAUUGUCUUCUAGUAUUAUUUGUAUAUAAUGAAUUCAGGUAUCUUGCUCAGGCAAAGGUUACUGUGUUCGUCUGGGGUCUGCUCAGGCGAAGGUUACUUUGUUCGUCUGGGGUCUUCUUAGGCGAAGGUUACUUUGUUCGUCUGGGGUCUGUGACAAAGCAAACAUGACAUGAUCUUAUUACCAUUAGGACAUAUAUAUGGUACAGAGUGCAAGCUUUAUUAUGAACUGUUAUGUUUGAAAAACUCAGAAGAUCAAACUCUUUCUCUGCGCAUGAUACCUGAUGAGAAACGUGUGACUUAUAUAUUUUACUAACAUUUAUCACUGUUCGUAUAGUAACAUUUGUUUAAUAAUUCCAUAUUUUGUUAUGUUGGCAACGAACCAUACCUAACAUAUUUGUUUUCGGAUUUUAAAACAAUUGUAAUUUGAAGCAAUACUUCGUUUAUGCAACCGGAAACACCGUGUUUGAAUGCUACGCAUGGUGGCUCGCGCAAGACUACAACGGAAGUCUUUAAAAGAAGCAACUUCAAUGCAACCAAAAACAGUUUAAUUUGAAUUUUUUGUUUGUUCGUGUCAGUCUAUACCAGGGCAUAAAGGCAUGUGCAUAAGAGCUUUCUUCUGACAUAAAAACAAAUAAUUUUCUACGGAGCAUUCCAAUCCAGGGAAGUUAAGUAUGGUUCCUCUUGUCUUUGAUCUUGUGACGGUGAUGCGGGUAGCAGGUGCCUUGGCGGUGCCUGAUGUGCGUGGAGGGAUUUAUUUCCGUUUAGGGAAACAUGUAAAUAUUGAUGUAUAUAGAUCUGGCGUGUGCGCAUCACCAAGGGCGUAUAUUGAGUAAAUGGACAUUGCAUAUGUAACCUUCUAUACAGAUGCAUAUCCAGAACGUGACGCACCGCUGCUCAUAAUUCGUAUAGAGGCCGACGACUUUCAAAAUAUAUUUUCUGUAUUAAUGGAGAAAAAUUGGUUGUCAUGGCAUUUCUGACAGCAGGUAGGAAAUGGCUUAUGUUGUAAUAUCAUAUGGCAAUAUGUACUUCAUAGUUAAUAAUUACAUUGCAUGUUUAUUUCUUAUCACAAUUUGGAUGAUUGUUACAUAGUUUCAACACUGUUUCAUUACCAUUUGUGUUUUGGAUUUGUUUCGUUUUUCAGACCUUGUGAGUGAUUGUCAGCUUUGACGACAUGCACAGCUGGAUGUUAUGUUUUCUUUACUUUAUUUGCUCUUUCCCCUUCUGAAUUAUUGUUCAGGCUUUCUAGGCGCUGCAAAUCUAAAACUGAAACUAGAAAAUAACGAACAAGGUGAAUGACAGAUUGUCUGUCCUGAGUGAAUAAAUUAUAUAUGUAUAUGUCCCAUGCAAGGAUAUUUCGUCAUUCAAAGUUGUGAUUAGGCUAUUCUAUAUCAUACGAUAAUAUCCCUAUUUGGGACAUAACGUGUAGAGCCAUCCUUGCAAUGGCCAACAUACAAUACACUUCGCUGAAAUCAACCUAUUGUUGUAAUUUAUGGUGUAAUGUUUAGAUGAUGGCAUACACAAUUCUAUUCAACAGGACACUGUACUACGUCAUAUUGCUUCAACUGAACAUGACCAAUGUUAAACAUGCCAAUUGCUAAAUAUAGGUAUACUAUUGUAUAAAUACCGAAUCAGAUAGACAUACACUGAAGCUCGAAAUUAAAUAUGAAGAGGCAGUUAACUUUGUUAUGGAACAUUUUGUGUCGACUAAUCCAACUUGUAUGUACCGAUGAUGCAUCCACAAUAACAAUGUCCCACAGCAAGAUAAACAAUUAUAGGCUGUCCAGCCCCUCUUAAGUCUAUGGAGUUUUAUUCCAAGUUUGCCUUGUUUCAGUGUGCAUGCCAUGUGGUUUAAUUUCUCCAUAUUGACUUAGCAAUAAAAUGACAUGACUGCUGUUAGCAUAUGUACCAUUAUGCAAGUAAACACUUUCUGCAUAACCAACGUACAGCAAGACCAGCUUCUGUUGCAGUUAAAAUGGCACUACCAGCGGUUAGGGGCCUACAAUUUAUUGACCGGUUGUACCAGACGAAUAUUUUCCUGUCACUGCAUUGCGCCACUCAAGUUUAUUUUUGGAAAGGAAGAGCUAAAAAUAUUCAUAUUUUGAGAUCCACAACAAAAUUAUUUGUACAUGAUACAAUUUAUACAAACGUAGGAGGGUUUCGUUCAGUGUUUUCUGGAAGGAUUUGUUUAAAAAAAAUCCCAGACCAACCAAAGAAUAUGAAAUGGUCGACCCCUUGUCUAUCAUGGUGUUUUGUUCAAGUAUGUGUAUGUUCGGGUGAUGGAAACAAUGAGUUGCACAUUUAGACACACGUCUGUUGUAAAGCUUGUAUAUGUAUCCAUAAAGGUUUCAACAAGUGAUCGGUGAAGCUGAAAAUAACAAAUACAUGUAGCUUGAUCAAUUUAAUUUAUUUUACCUUGUAAAACAUGUAAAUUCAAGAUGUAUGCAUUGAAAGGUAAAAUGAACCUUAUAUGUUCAGGUUUUUUUAAAAAUUGGAUUAUUUUUUCUGCAAGACCCUAGAGGUCAUGUUGUAUUAUUACAAAAGCAAUAGGAAGGCAUCUCAGGUUUGUCAAAUUUGUUUUGAAUCAUGUAUCAUAUUCAGAUGUUAUUUUGUUGUGUGUAAAUAUUGUUUUAUGAAUUAUGUUAUGUUUCUAAUGGCUAAUUGUUAACUCAUUAUCAAUUUUGAAUUUACACUUUAAGAUAAUUGUAUGUAAUUUAGUCGGAGUCUUGGUCGUUACUCGUAACACCAACUCCCACACUGAACAUACUAUGACAAGUACCUUGUCUGGCUGUAACAACGGAAUAUUUAAUAAUAGUCCUAAGCUUCAUACUUAGCACGUUUUGUUUUCCCUUUGUGUAAGACGUUUUCUUUGUACUUUAAUGGAUACGUCUAGGGGGUUAUAAAUUGUUUAUUAACUUG